ACACACACACACACACACACACACACACCCUUCUUAUCAAAAGGGCAUGACUCAGUAAAAUAAAGCAACAAGCCUUUGUGCACUGAGAUCUGAACUCCUUGAAUAAUGUCCCCUACAGUGUGUGCUCGGCAUUAAGAAGAUUCAUAAGCCCUUUCCCGAAAUUGCUCCUCCCAUUUUGAGUAGGUAGCUGUAGCACCACAGAAUGGAAAGAGUGUUUCUCUGUCCUCAGUGCUUCCCUCACUGGCAGCCAGUGAGUAAACAGCCUGGCUCAAAUACAGGAACUGCAGACAAAGAAACUUUGUGGUAGCAAAUGGGUAAGGGUUGUAGCAGGUGGGGGUGGGGAAGAGAAGGUGUAAGAUUACACAACUUGGAUUGCUACCAGAGGGGACCUAUUUUCGCCACCUUAUUGUUAGUUUUUGCCUCUCAAUUUGCAUUUCUCUUUCUUUUGCCUUCAUGGUGGAACACGGGAAUGCAGGUGGUCAGGCCACUUAGGGCUUUACAGGGCAGCUGCAGCAGCACUCUGAAAUAAGCUUUGGAAGGGGUAGAUCUGCACCACACAUUUAAAGUACAUGACUUCCCCCAAAGAAUACUAGGAACUGUAAUUUGUUAAGGAUGUCAGGGAUUGUAGCGCUGUGAGGUGGGGUAUCCUGAGCCCCGGACCUGCCUGGCGGCAAGUCAGUAUGUCAAGUCCAAAACUCAACAGUCAGGAAUCAGGGUCCAGGGUCAAUCCACAUCAGCAAAGUCCAGAAUAUGCAGUCCAAGGUCAACAGUAAUCAGGAAACCCAGUCCAAAGUCAACCCCAAAGCACAGUCCCAUGGUUGUCCAGGGGCAUUCAAGCCAAGGUCCAUCAACCUGAGCAGUUGAGCAGACACAGCCCCUCAGCUCUGCUUCCCUUUUAUACUUUGCCUGCUGAUUACAGCAUCUGGGCUUGACGAGGUAUGCGGCCCUCACCUGUUCAGAGUCUACUCCAGCUGAGGAAUCACACACCGCCUCCCAGAGCUAACUAGCCCCACUUGGCCACUUAGGGAGCUGUGAGUCCUUGCCUGCCUCAGCCUCCUAGAGCACCCCUUCCACUGCUCCCUAUGACUCAGAGCCUGCCGUGUUUAUGGAGAAAGGGGCCCUUCUGGCUCUGGUGAUGGCUUCUGCUGCUUCCUGUACACUGACUGCCAUCCCCUCACUAUCCUCCAUCACCCUGUGAGUACUUCCUUCUCCAUCCCCAGUUUGCCCCGGUGUCUCCCAGUCCCAAAUUCACCCUCGAUUGGAUCCUCUUCAUCCUUCCUGUAAUCCUGCCAGUUCACGACACGGUUUCCAGAAUUCAAUUGGGGGGGGGGGGAGUCAUGUGCUUUGAAUGUGCAAUUGCGUGUUCUUCAGAUGUAUGACAUGGAUCUUCCAAAAGACUAAUCUCAUAGGCCUCUAAGACAAAUGGGUCAGAAAUUGUAAGAUGUUUAUGUGUUGACAAAAUGAAAAUUAGUAAUGCCAGCUAAAUAUAAAAGUUAUGGCUUUUGAACCUACUACUGCUACUACUACUACACAUACAUGCAUGUGGCAUUCUGGGCUGGUUUUUGUUACCUGCUGGCUGUAUCUUUUCGAUCGAGCCGCUGACAGUUUUGGUUGACCACACCACUUCACUGUUGAAAGUUAAUACUGUUUGACUCAUUCUGUGCUGUUUGCAUCAAGCCAAAGAAAACAAGGGGAAGAAUAAUCUGCCUGUGUGCAGUUUGGAAACUUCUCAGAGACUCUGCAUGCAAAGCACUAUAUAGUAGCUUACUAUAUCUCUUUGCAAGCUGCAGAGGAAAAGGAGGAAGCAAACAGCAUAGCAUGCGUAAGACUAUGCAGCACCAUGGACGACAUGAGAGGGUGCAGGGAACUGCAAGAAUACUUGUAUGUAACAAACUGUUAGUACAAUGGAGAGACUGUUAAGGAAGUUAAAGGGGGGGGAAUACUAAGCCAUUCCAGUUUUGACAUGCAGAGAUGUUUAUUUCAGAGGCAGGGGGAGUUGCUCAUUUUAUCACAAGUGGGUUAUUUUGGUUCACGUUGUAAGAGUAAACAUUCAAGCAAGGGAAAAUCCACUUUUCCUUCCACCACCCCAUUUGUUAAGCAAAGUUUUGAUGACUCAGGGCAUGAGCAAUGGCAUAGAGGGCCUUUUCAUUGGUAGAGUGAGUCGCUUUAGUUACUAGUGGCUGUUUUUAACUCUCGAAAGACAGUUUGGAAAUGAAAUGGGUUCAUUAUAUUUCUGGGAACACCCCGUUACAAAUUUACUAUAGUGACUGACUUCAGUGGCCAUGAUCCAGAGAUUCUGUUUUGCAUGUAAAGACAGACUUCCAUAGGUGGGGCAGCUGUUUGCCAGCAGUUUGUGAAGAAAAUCAAGCAGUAUACACAGAAGCCAUUCUGCAUGCAGAAUGCUGCUAACUGUACACAUAGAUUGAGAAGGGCUGUAAAGAUUUUAAAACUUUCUUAAAGCUAAGUUAAAUGCUUGUUUGGAAUUCUUGCUCAUGAAUGUUGUCAAUAUUCUAUUGCUACUAUUUGCUGUUUAACAUUUACUUUGUGCCCACUAGGGAUGGACAAAUCAGGUUUUUAAUUUCAUGUGUUCAUAAAUCAAUUUCAUCCUGUUUCUGCAUUAAUCUACAGGGUCCCCCCCCAAAAAAAUGUACCAAGAUAGGCAUUAUUUUUCUAUGCAGUAUCUUAACAUUAUCUUUGAACACCUUUAAAUUUAAAAUAAACAUUUUUGUAUGCAUUUUGGUACGUUUUUAAAGCUGAAAUCUAAAAUCUGUCUCAAAAUUCAGAGAAGUGCAAAAACUGUAAGAUACCUGUAUUCUGUUCCACAUAUUAGUCUGAGAAGUGUAAAUCAGGUCAGCUUGCUUAAAAAUGGGGUUCAAGCAAAAUCUUCAAGUAUCUCUAAUGUCAAUGCAGCACUAGGCACAAUAUGGCAAAAUGAAUACAGAUUCUGCCCAGGAGACUUAAACAGUCCCCAUUGGUCUCAGAAGAUAGAGGUGGAAAGAGAGAUUCAGAAAUGCCAAAUAUACUUAGUUAGGUAAGCCCCGCCCUGCAUAAUCAUUCACAUGAUGCUGUGCACUAUUUGAAUGGCAAUGCCUCUUGAAUAUUUUAUUGGGGGGGGGGACAAAGAGACUUCAGCCCAUAGGGGUUGGCUCCUAUGAGGCACGCUUUUUCUAAUGCUCUGGUAAAAAGAAAACAUUUAUUACGAAAAGAACCCCUCAAGUGAUGCUAGCAAGCAUGCUUCACACCAAAGGCGAUUGAAAAGGCAUUCCAGAAUCACCAGCCAAUCAGAGCUGAGGGGAGAAAUUCUCAAUGCUUUUUGCCAGAUUAAUUUUUUUCUAUGGCAGUAAUGGUCCCCUUUGCAAACUCUGAAGCACACGUUUAAUGUAUUAGGAGCAAGGAAAGCAGCACCCUUCCCUUGAGACAUCUGGCUCUCCUCAUUUAAGUGUUUUCUUAACAGACUGCUUCUUCCACACUUACUUUGCUUUUGCAUGUCCUCAAACAAACUUGUUUUUGGUGAGUGCUGGAAGAUAGAACAUGUAAAUAAAGGAAGGUUUUUCCUAAACCCUUCACAUUCUGGCUGGCAUUAGUCUUCGCUUUAAAAGUUCUUUUAAAAAGAAUUCCUAUGUGCCUGUUUUACAUUACUUUUACCGUAUUGGCCCAAAUAUAAGCCGCACCAGCAAAUAAGCCUUAUCUUUAAAAUUCAUGGGGGGGGUAAGAGAAAAAAAUACAGUACCCUAAUAUAAGCCGCUCCCUUAAAAUUGUGUUGUGCUGGUGGUCCUAGGAGCUACGUGCUGCCGUGGCACCCGCCAUCUUGCCUCACCAGAAGUCCUGUAAAAGCCAAUUUUUGUAAGGUCACAAAUUUAAGCCGCACUUUAACUUUUCACAGUCGGAAUUUGUGGGGAAAGUGCGGCUUAUAUUCAGGCCAAUAUGGUACUUCAGUGGGCAGGCUUAUCUCCAAACAAGAACUUAUGAAGUAAGCCACUUUUUCUAAACAAGGAAGUUACACGUUUCUGUGUACAGAAACGUGUGUAUCCACAACUUGGGUGUACACCUCCAGGACUCUUCACACAUAACAAUCAGUGCCGGAUUUACGUAUAAGCUAACCAAGCUAUAGCUUAGGGCCCCACUCACUUGGGUCCCCCAAAAAAUUUAAAUGAAAAAAACAAUUGGAUGUACAUUUCC